UACGGAGGGGGCUAGCGUUGUUCGGAAUUACUGGGCGUAAAACGCACGUAGGCGGCUUUGUAAGUUAGAGGUGAAAGCCCGGAGCUCAACUCCGGAAUUGCCUUUAAGACUGCAUCGCUUGAAUCAUGGAGAGGUGAGUGGAAUUCCGAGUGUAGAGGUGAAAUUCGUAGAUAUUCGGAAGAACACCAGUGGCGAAGGCGACUCACUGGACAUGUAUUGACGCUGAGGUGGCGAAAAGCGUGGGGAGCAAACAGG
rnacentral:rRNA from 1 species